AGCGAACGCUGGCGGCAGGCCUAACACAUGCAAGUCGAACGGAUCCUUCGGGAUUAGUGGCGGACGGGUGAGUAACACGUGGGAACGUGCCUUUAGGUUCGGAACAACUCAGGGAAACUUGAGCUAAUACCGGAUGUGCCCUUAGGGGGAAAGAUUUAUCGCCUUUAGAGCGGCCCGCGUCUGAUUAGCUAGUUGGUGAGGUAAAGGCUCACCAAGGCGACGAUCAGUAGCUGGUCUGAGAGGAUGACCAGCCACAUUGGGACUGCGACACGGCCCAAACUCCUACGGGAGGCAGCAGUGGGGAAUCUUGCGCAAUGGGCGAAAGCCUGACGCAGCCAUGCCGCGUGUAUGAUGAAGGUCUUAGGAUUGUAAAAUACUUUCACCGGUGAAGAUAAUGACUGUAGCCGGAGAAGAAGCCCCGGCUAACUUCGUGCCAGCAGCCGCCGUAA
rnacentral:rRNA from 1 species